rnacentral:rRNA from 1 species
AGCUCUAAUAGCGUAUAUUAAAGUUGUUGUGGUUGAAAAGCUCGUAGUUGAAUCUCGGUGAGUCACCGGUCUCUGGUCCGCCCACUGGGUGUGUACUGGUCCGGGCUCGCUUGCGUGUCGUGAGGCACGCGUACGCCAGUUGCUCGGCCUGCACUUUAUUGUGUGGGUGUCUUGGGUUCUGGCUAGUUUACCUUGAAUAAAAUAGAGUGUUCAAAGCAGGCAAACUUAUCAGCCACUGAAUACAUUAGCAUGGGAUAAUAGAAUAGGACUUUGGUUCUAUUUUGUUGGUUUCUAGGACUGAAGUAAUGAUUAACAGGGACAGUUGGGGGCAUUCGUAUUUAAUUGCUAGAGGUGAAAUUCUUGGAUUUGUUAAAGACGAACUACUGCGAAAGCAUUUGCC